GACGAAGGUGUUGUUCCGUUGGUGAUGGUGAGUCCAGUCCAGUCGCGGGAAGAAACACUUUUCCACUUUUGUGUCACUUUGGUUCACUAGUCACUUGGGAGACGUCCUGGGA